rnacentral:rRNA from 1 species
CCGCAAGGGGGGAAAGCGGCGAAAGGGACAGUAAUACGUAGAUAUCUGCCCUCGGGUCCGGGAUAGCUGCGGGAAACUGCAGGUAAUACCGGAUAACAUCUCCGGAUCAAAGGUGUGAUUCCGCCUGAGGAUGAGUCUGCGUCCUAUUAGCUUGUUGGUAAGGUAACGGCUUACCAAGGCAAUGAUGGGUAGCGGGUGUGAGAGCACGACCCGCGUCACUGGGACUGAGACACUGCCCAGACACCUACGGGUGGCUGCAGUCGAGGAUCUUCGGCAAUGGGCGCAAGCCUGACCGAGCGACGCCGCGUGCGGGAUGAAGGCUUUCGGGUUGUAAACCGCUGUCAGAGGGGAUGAAAUGUAGGUGGGUUCUCCCAUCUAUUUGACAUAUCCUCAGAGGAAGUACGGGCUAAGUUCGUGCCAGCAGCCGCGGUAAGACGAACCGUACGAACGUUAUUCGGAAUUACUGGGCUUAAAGGGUGCGUAGGCUGCGCGGAAAGUUGGGUGUGAAAUCCCUCGGCUCAACCGAGGAACUGCGCCCAAAACUGCCGUGCUCGAGGGAGACAGAGGUGAGCGGAACUUAGGGUGGAGCGGUGAAAUGCGUUGAUAUCCUAAGGAACACCCGUGGCGAAAGCGGCUCACUGGGUCUCUUCCGACGCUGAGGCACGAAAGCUAGGGUAGCGAACGGGAUUAGAUACCCCGGUAGUCCUAGCCGUAAACGAUGAGCACUGGGUUGGAGGGCCCCUCAUAGCCUUCCAGCCGCAGCGAAAGUG